UACGUAGGGUGCAAGCGUUAAUCGGAAUUACUGGGCGUAAAGCGUGCGCAGGCGGUUCGGAAAGAAAGAUGUGAAAUCCCAGGGCUUAACCUUGGAACUGCAUUUUUAACUGCCGGGCUAGAGUAUGUCAGAGGGGGGUAGAAUUCCACGUGUAGCAGUGAAAUGCGUAGAGAUGUGGAGGAAUACCGAUGGCGAAGGCAGCCCCCUGGGAUAAUACUGACGCUCAUGCACGGAAGCGUGGGGAGCAAACAGG
rnacentral:rRNA from 1 species